ensembl:lncRNA
CUGAAAUCACUCCUUUAGAAGCUGCUGGAGGCUUGGGACCAUGGAACGGUAAAAUGUCAACUUGAAGGAAAUUAAGGGAUUCAAACCAUGAGCUUGACCUUAGAGAGAGAAGGCUGAUUCCUGAGUGACGCCAGUGGAGGGAACCACAGCCACACUGGAUCUAGGCAGAGGAAACUAUCUGAGCACAAAGCUUCAGAGGUCCCCAAACCAGCUGAAAGCUGAAACAAGAAAGAGCAGGACAGAUAGGUCUUCGUUCCAGUGUACAGGUGACAGGUCAUGUGUGUUCUCUGAAAGCCAUUGAGCCAAUGUCACAUAGUGGUUUACAUCUGACCUUGGAAGCAGACUGUGAAGGGUCACAAUGCUGAUCCUGUCACUCCCCACUGCGUGAACUCGGGAAUCUCAAUCUCUCUGAGCCUCAUCUGCAAAAUGGGGCUAGAACCCAACUCCCAGGGUUGUGUGAAGAGUCAAUGAGCAAGUACAAGCCCACUUGGCACACAGGGAAGGCUCGACUAUAGAGCUCCUGUUACUCCUACCCCAUGAGCCUCUGGGAGGAGCAUCUGAGACACUACACCUGUAAACACCUGUGAAGACUGCAAACCCCCAUGCAAUCUCAAGGGGUCGUCAGUUUGUUUAAUUCUCCAUGAGACCUACCUCCAUAGUUCAUCAGAGGUCUGGACAAAAUCUCAAACCACAGUGGGAAGGAGUGCUCCUUCUGUAUCCGGAUGGGUACCUACAACUUGUGUUUUCAGGAACUGGGAGGACAAAGUGACUUCUUUGUACGCAUCUGGUCAGCCGCCACCCCACAGCACCAUGUCCUGGGUGAGGAUGGGUAGCUGGAUAAAACCUGUGGACUGGAACAUAUUUGACACCGUCUGCAAGGCACUAAGAGUCCACGGAUGAGGAAUUGCAGUAAUGAGCAGAGAGCAGCACGGUGGCUGUUAACGUUGCUGCUCUUCCAGGCAGAGGUCAGCACUGCCUCGUGAGCGAGUGACUGAGCACCGCAGAAUCGUGCAGCGUCUCCUCUGCAAUCACAUUUGGCCCUCUCUGGAGUAAUCAGACAAAGUGCCCACAGGAGAGCGAGGCCCGAGAGCCAUGAGGCGCUUAUUUAGGCCAAUAGCAUGAUGCAGCAGAAAAAGCGUGAGCUUCGAUGCCAAAGAGAAGAGGAACAGAAUCUCGGAUCUGCCCACUUUGUGUCCUGGAGCACAGAUAGACUACAAACUUCAUCAAGGCGGUUGUACCCAUUUUGGAGUGCAUUCAGCUACAAGUAACAGAAACUUGACAGUGGCUUCAACAAAUAAGGAUUCACUUUUGUCAUCUAAAAAAGAAGUACAGAGGUAGUGGCUGCUGGUAAUGUUUCAGAACCUCAACAAUGUCACAAUGUCUCUUUGACUCUUUUGGUCUUUACUUCAUGGGUUCAAGAUAGCUGUUGCAGCUCUAGCCAUCAUAUCCAAAUUAAAGCAAGAAGAAAGGAAAAGGGAUGAGGACAGCCAUAUCUGUCUCAUUUUAGUGGGAAAGCAAGCUUUCCAUUCUUGAGCUUGGCCGUAACUGGGUUGCUUACAACUCCAAGCGGCAAGGGAGGCUGGGAGAUGAGAUUCUGCAGGCUAAAUUGGG